GAAAAGGUUCGGAGAACUUCGAUGAUUUGGGCAGUCCCUGGUGGCGGCAGCAUGGAGCUGCAGCUGGACUAGGAGCUGAGGCAGGACUGUGCCAGGGCUAUAGCUUCCUCUGCUUUUACUUUGGUUUGGAGUCUUCCUGGGGUCUCUGGGCUCCUCAGUCACAGCCUUGAAGCUUUCCUUGGCCCCUCAGUGGUCCUCUGCCUUCGAAUGUCACCCAACUAUCACUGAGCCUACCCCCCUGCAUACCUAAUGGAGCUUCUUACCUCUGGCAGACUUCCUAGCAGUGAAAACAAUGAUUUGUCAUGUCUUGAAUUAGCAUUGCCUUGACCUUCUCACAAGCUCCUCCUCCCCUUGAAGAAUGAUGCCCCAUCCCAUGCCCUGCCUGAAUGCUCUGAGUCUGACAUUGCUGUGACCCUGAGCUCCGAGGAGGACCUGGAAUCCUGAAGGCUGGGAGCUAUCACUGCCACCCAAAGCAGCUGAACCCAGUAUCCUUGUGUUGGUGGAGGUGGCAUGGACCUGAAAAAUGACAGUGAUCCCUGAUGCUGGACACCUCCAUGUCUGGACCCUACAGAGGAGCAUAUGGGACUUUCACUGGCCAGACCAACAGUGCCCUUGCGGGGCAGGGAUGGAGGGUGGCAUUGGGCUACAGUCUAUUCUACCACUCCCCCUUCUCUUGGGGCUUUACCCCCUCUUUCACCUCUUUGCUUGU